UACGUAGCAGCGAGCGUUUGUUCGGAAUUACUGGGCGUAAAGAGUGUGUAGGCGGUGCUCUAAGUUCGGUGUGAAAUCUCCCGCUUAACUGGGAGGGUGCGCCGGAAACUGGAGUGCUUGAGCGUGGGAGAGGAAAGCGGAAUUCCUGGUGUAGCGGUGAAAUGCGUAGAUAUCAGGAGGAACACCUGUGGUGUAGACGGCUUUCUGGACCAUAGCUGACGCUGAGACACGAAAGCGUGGGUAGCAAACAGG
rnacentral:rRNA from 1 species